UACGUAGGGGGCAAGCGUUGUUCGGAAUUAUUGGGCGUAAAGGGCUCGUAGGCGGUCUGUCGCGUCGGUAGUGAAAACUCAGGGCUUAACCCUGAGCCUGCUUCCGAUACGGGCAGACUAGAGGUAUGCAGGGGAGAAUGGAAUUCCUGGUGUAGCGGUGAAAUGCGCAGAUAUCAGGAGGAACACCAGUGGCGAAGGCGGUUCUCUGGGCAUUACCUGACGCUGAGGAGCGAAAGUGUGGGGAGCGAACAGG
rnacentral:rRNA from 1 species